UCCCUGGUGGCUCAGAUGGUAAAGCGUCUGCCUGCAAUGCGGGAGACCCGGGUUCAAUUCCCGGGUUGGGAA
rfam:Ovis aries breed Texel chromosome 12, whole genome shotgun sequence.